rnacentral:tRNA from 1 species
GAGGGUAUAGCUCAGUGGUACAGUGCAUGCUUAGCAUGCACGAGGUCCUGGGUUCAGUCCCCAGCACCUCCA